AAAAAAUUGGGUUGACAUUAAUAGUAAACUAAUGUAAGGGUAAAAGUUGACGUUCUCUAACUUGUACAAGAUUUUAAUGUAAUAGUAAAGAAUAAUGAAAGAUUUUCAUUUGCCUUGCAGAUGGACUCCUAAGGAAAUGAAAGAGAAGACAGGAGACAAAUUGUUAGGAAAAGCUAAGUCUUCCCUCUUAAUGAGCAAAGAUUUUUGCCUGGUUUAAAAAUUUUUGUGAUGUAAUUUUGGCAAAAUAACUAACUGAUGGUAAUCUGGAAUUCUAUUUCAUAGCAUCAAGUGUUUUAAACCACUAACAUAUUUAAUAGGCUUCCCAAAACCAAAUUUUGGCUUCAAGUUGUCCGUCCUGACCCCUAGUUUUUGGAUGCUACAGACGGCCCCUGAAGCAUCCAAAGAGGGUAGACAGGAUUACCUGAUGUCUUUAGGUACAUGGGAUUGCCAAAAUGAUGUUUAAUAUUCUUCAGGUUAUAUUUUAGUGAAUAAUAUUAAUAUCUGUUCCAAAAUAGUACAGGAUUUUAAAAAUUCUAAUGUAUGAGUAUAUUUAUGAAUCACAAUUCAGGGUGUUAUAUUAAGUUAUUGUAAACCACAGAGAUAACCAAAUUUCUUUGUCAAUUAUGUUUUUGACUGUAACUACCCUGGACAUUUUGUUAUUCAUAGACAAUUGUUGUCUUGGUUUGAUCCUCUUUAAACGAUGGUAUAUAAUAAGCUAUAGAACUUUGACAGGUUCUCUCAAAUGCAGGUUACUGAUAACUUUGUAAAUUGUGACAUUGGUAUAAAGGAAAAACACACAGGGCUAAUGAAGAACUGAAAUGUUUAGAAAUAUCAAUACAAGAGUUAACUAAAAGGACUAAACUAAUAGAAAACUGAAGUAAUCUUUUUUAAAACUUUUGCUUAAAACAUUGCUGAUCUUUGUUUUGUUUUUCAGAGUCAAGGAAACUUUUAUUUUGAGCUAUUUACAGUCUUUAAUAAUUGAGUAAAGUAGACUCCUGUGAACAAAAUUUGGAGCAUGUUUGUUUCUCUUUGCAUGGUUCCUAUAGAAUUUGGAAACUAUCUGCCAUUGAACUCCAAACAAUCAUGCAACUAGAGCCUCAAAUGAUGGCCCCCUUUUACCAGAGACCCUUAGAUAGGCCUCUGAGGGAGAUCUGACUGCUGUUAUUUGAAAACAGCACCCCCUGUCAGCAGAAAGCAGUUAAGGUGAAGAGCUAUUUUCCUGAUGUCCUAAGAAUUUUAUUCAAUUAAUGUUAUAGGUGCCACUAGAGGAGCUGGAAGGUGUUCCUGGUCUUUUGCAAAAGAAAGCUUUCUUCUCAAAUCAAUGCAAAAUCUCCUUCUCUUCUAACUAUCCUAGAGCUGUGGGGAGGAGGCAGAGAGUGUGUGGAUUUGAAAGGGCUUCUCGACCUCUAGGUAAAAAGAAAGAGCUUAGAUAUUAACAUUGUAAUUACAUCAAUUAGAUGCUAACUUUAUUUGGUUUUCAAAAAUAAUCAGGCCCCUGCUAAUUGUGUGUAUAGAGAAAGAAAUGAGUCCACAUUCUUUGUAAACACUAAGUACACUUUUUUGUUCUCUAUCAAUGAGCAGCAGGCAGCAUGUGGAUCUCAGAUAUCUGAAGACAGGGCAUAUGAGCUGAUUAAAUGGGCUGGUAGGAAAGGUCUGAAUUCAGAGGUUAGCACUGCCAACCCUCUGUUCCUCCAGUCCACCCCCUGUAACCAGCUCCCACUGGCUUCAUCACGGCUGCCCAAUUUCUUCCUACUCCAGUGUUUCUCAACCCUUUAAAUCAAUGCCAACUUUUCAUAAAUACAAACAUCUUAUUCACACUUUCCCCAGAAAUUCUAACACGUUCCUCAGGAUUAGGGGAGUGGAAACUUCAGUUAGGAAACUCUGUAUUUUCUUUGUAACCCAGCAGCAAAAACAAUGUGGUUGUGUUUUGUUUUCUGAAGUUGCCAUUAUAAAAAUAAUAGUUUUGUUAUGUUUUUAUAAGAUAAAACUAAAUUAUAAAAUUGAACAUGUCUUCUCAAAUUUUUCACUUGCCUCCAACCACCCUCCACUUCCCAUAGAUUCUAGUAUUUCUCUAAGAGCCCAUUCCUCAAGUUAAAAAUUGUUGCUCUAAUUUCUACAUCAUGACCAGGACAUGCUGUAUAAUUUGUGGGGCCUAGUUCAAAAUGAAUAUGCAAGGUCCCUCUUCAAACAUUAUUAAGGAUUUCAAGAUGGCUACAGUAGAGGAUUAAACCAAGGCUGGGACCUUUCUAAGCUUGGAGUCCUGGGUGACUGCACAGAAUACAUGCCACAAAGCUGUCCCUGAUCAUGACUUUUUAGCUUCUGCUAUUCCUGUCAUUGACUUCAUCUGUGUGUUUCCUAAUUCUGAUUCCCAAGAGCAAGAAUCGGAUUGGCUAAGAUAAGCAUUUCAUUCCAGAAGUUUUACUGGUUGCUGGCAGGCAUAUUCAUUGGAGAGGUCCCUUGGUCAGUCAACUAUGUCAGAACCAAACAGUCGUGUGUGAUCAAGGUGGGGGAUUUGAAUGGGAGUAGAGAAUGGGUCUACUACUACAGUACAUGGCCACCAAUGUAGCCAUGAGAGUGGACGGGGCAGUUUUCUUAGGAGUGGACAUGGGUAGACAGGCAAUCACUGACACUGAAUACAAAAUAUAAAUAUACGCAUUUCCAAUUUGAGCCUGAUGUCUGUGUAAAACGGAGUAAUAAUAUUUCAGAGGCUAGUUUAUGGGGGAUAGAUGAGAUAGUGACCUAAACAAAUGGAUGUAAAACCCCAAGAAAUCAUUAUUACCAUUCAACUAAGGGAGUGCAAACAUAGUGGAACCUGAUUUAAUAUCUCAAAUAGUCCAGCACUCAAAAAUAGGCUGGUAACACAUAGGCCAUCAGGGUGUUGUCUUGUGGUGCAUGCAGCAGGAUGACUAUUACUGUGAACUAAGCAACACAGAUGCCAUCUUCUGAAGACAAAUAGACACAAAGGAUUGUGUCUUUGUUCAUAUAUACAAAGAAAAUUGGCACUAGAACUGGAUGAGAGCCAAGGGACAGUCUGUUUGAUAGGCUGUGGCUUGUGAUAGUCCUAAUCUGUUGAUGAAAUAAUGUGUUUCCUUCUGGAAAAAAGGAAUUUUCUAACGUUCCCCUAAGAAAGGUUUCAGCUGCCCUCAGCUCUGUCAGGGACUAGAAGUGAUUGUCCUGUUCUGGGUUAUUAUCACUUUGAUCACACCAAUUCCCCUUUUGGGCUUAAAAAACUCAGUCUCUUUCUGUCUCUCUCUCUCUCUUUUUCUCUCUCUCUCUUUUUGGAGGAUUUUUUUCGAAUCUGUAUAUCUUUCUAGUUUAACUAGAUACAGAUCUAGUCAUGGGUUUUUACCCCCAGGCUCUCCCUUUUGUCAUCUUUUAUCCUCCUCUUUCCUUUGUCCCAUUUAAAUUAAAUUUUAGAAUUUAUAUAAGAAUUUAAGUUGGUCAUAGUAAAGAUUUUGAAACAUUAGGGAUUUUGAAUUCCAAUAGUGUUAUCAGUAGCUUUUAAAGGUUAGGAUUUUCCUUUUGUAUGUGUCAUGAGUCUAUAUGUGUGAGACUGUGACACUGUGUGUAUGUAUUUAAAGAAUAUUUAAACUUAUGACAGUAAAAGAAAAAGUACAAAUUGCAAAUAUCAAGCGUUACGUCAAAUAAAAACUUCCAAAACAGUCCUAUGUGACAAAUAACACAAACCAAAUUAAUUAUUAAAAAGAAUCUUUUGUAUCACUCAAUUCCUAGAAAGAAUCAGGAAAGUAAAAGUCUAAAAAGCAGUGGUUUGAAGAAAAACAGGAAGCCUGCCACAAAGCAUUUUGAGUAGGUGAAUGAAGGUUAUUAGUUAAGCUGGGGAUGCCUGCUUUCCCUGCUCUAGCAGUCACAGACAGAGUGAGCAUGCCUCUGCAUAAUCCUAUUAUGUACAGGGUGCUGCACUUGGCCUUCCUGGUGACUUACAUUUGCCAGAAACACUACACUUCAAACACAUACCAUACAGGCAAUUACAACAGGUUUCCAAAGAUUGAUGGCAGCCCCCAAAUGAAAAGAUUCCACUAGCUACCCUCUAAAUCCUCAUAUGAAGAAUAUGUGUUUGUGUGUGUGCCACUAUGUGUUCAUGUAUUUAGCCAGCAUAAUGUAGAAAAUUGAUUUCUUAACACCUGAUUCUAGGCAGAAGCAAUUUCUGCCCAGAAUGUCAGCCACUUUUUAAAAAAUAACAUCAAGCCAUUGCACAAAUACAAAAUCACAUACUUGGAGAAAACGAAAUUAUACACAUCCUUAGAAUAUUACUCUUUCCCUUUCAUCCUUCAAAAAUUAAUUUGGAUUUUUAACUUUCCAUCCUGGUCCAAUACUGUACAACAAAGAAAGUAUGGAUAAGAAAAGUAAGAUUUCAGAAAUGUGGUAAGGAGUGGAGGGAAAUGCCUUCAAUAAUUCUCAGUGAGGGUGUAGGAGGACUUCUGGCUCACAGAUGUUCCAGUGCUCUAAGGGGUUCAUUGGGAGAGAAUAUCACCAUAGGUUUGAAAAACUAUUAAUCCCACCAAGGAAAAAAAACUUCAGCUUUUGAGCCUGUUAGCAAAUUAUAGUUAAUAAAAAUAAAAUUUGUGGCCUGGCACAGUGGCUCACGCCUGUAAUCCUAGCAUUUUGGGAGGCCGAGGAGGGUGGAUUGCCUGAGCUCAGGGGUUCAAGACCAGCCUGGUCAACAUGGUGAAACCCUGUCUCUACUAAAUACAAAUUAGCUGGGCUUGGCAGCAUGUGCCUGCAGCCCAACUACUCAGGAGGCUGAAGUGGGAGAAUUGCUCCAGCCCACAAGGCAGAGGUUGCAGUGAGGUGAGAUGGUGCAACUACUACACUCCAGACUGGGUGACAGAGCGAGUCUCUGUCUCAAAAAUAAAAUAAAAUAAAAUAAAAUAAUAUAAAAUAAAAUUUGUAAAUAGAAUACACCGAAAUAUAUUCUGUGAACAAAAGAGGACAAAUUAAACCAAGAGAGUUCAAUGUACAAGGUAUGAUUUUGAAAUUAUACAAUUGUACUUUUAAAUCCCUUGACUUUUGCAAAGAAUCUUGAUGCAGCAUAUAUUUUUAUUAUAUAAAUGUCUAUUUUGCAAUAGGAUGAAAUAAAAUUAAGAAGACCUAUGAUAAUGCAGUAUAUAAAUUUGGCAAAACACUUGAAUAAUGAAAAAACUUAUUGGUGAGUUUUGUCUCAUAAAUAUAUUUGUUGGAGAAAGAUACUCUAAAUGGAGACAAACAUAAAAUGCUUGUGGAAAUAUUUAGACAUUUAACAUAAACAAUUAGAAUUGACAUUGCCCUCCAUUUGACAGAAUUUUAUCUGAAUUUACAUUACAACAGCACUAGAAGAGAAUAUUUUCCCUAUUAAAAAGAUUAUGGUCUAUAGAAAAAGAACCAACUGAAAAUGCAAUUAACCAUAAUUUGAAACUUGAAGACAAUUUCAGGCAUUUUUAUGGGAAAAAACACUAAAUUUUUAAACAAAAUACUAUUAAUAAAGAGAAUUAGAGAAAUUAUAUAAGCACACAAGUAUUGUUACCUGCUUUUAAAAUUUUUAAUGUUCAGGUAAUGAUAUAAAGGAGGUUUAUUUAUUAAAAUGUUUAUUUAAUGUAUACUAGUGUAAUAG
rnacentral:lncRNA from 10 species